rnacentral:rRNA from 1 species
CACGUAGGGCGCAAGCGUUGUCCGGAAUUAUUGGGCGUAAAGAGCUCGUAGGCGGUCUGUUGCGUCCGCUGUGAAAACCCGGGGCUUAACCCCUGGCUUGCAGUGGAUACGGACAGACUAGAGGUAGGUAGGGGAGAAUGGAAUUCCCGGUGUAGCGGUGAAAUGCGCAGAUAUCAGGAGGAACACCGAUGGCGAAGGCAGGUCUCUGGGCCACUACUGACGCUGAGAAGCGAAAGCGUGGGGAGCGAACAGG